AAAGUAGGAGUUAAAUUUGUUAAUAUCAUAUUGUUCUAAGGGAACAGAUGGUAAACAAACUUUGGUCGGUGAGGUUACCAUCUUUUUUUCUUUCUAA
rnacentral:antisense_RNA from 1 species